rnacentral:rRNA from 1 species
CCGUGCUCCUGGUGGACAACUGGUAUACCAGAGGUUCGUCCGUCCCGGUCCUCUCGUACUAGGGACAGGUUUCCUCAAGUUUCUGACGCGCGCGGCGGAUAGAGACCGAACUGUCUCACGACGUUCUAAACCCAGCUCGCGUGCCGCUUUAAUGGGCGAACAGCCCAACCCUUGGGACCUGCUCCAGCCCCAGGAUGCGACGAGCCGACAUCGAGGUGCCAAACCAUCCCGUCGAUAUGGACUCUUGGGGAAGAUCAGCCUGUUAUCCCCGGGGUACCUUUUAUCCGUUGAGCGACACCCCUUCCACUCGGGGGUGCCGGAUCACUAGUCCCGACUUUCGUCCCUGCUUGACUUGUAAGUCUCGCAGUCAAGCUCCCUUGUGCACUUACACUCGUCACCUGAUUGCCGUCCAGGUUGAGGGAACCUUUGGGCGCCUCCGUUACAUUUUAGGAGGCAACCGCCCCAGUUAAACUACCCGCCAGGCACUGUCCGUGAACCCGAUAAGGGUUCGACGUUAGGUGUCCAAUACGAUCAGAGUGGUAUUUCAACAACGACUCCAUACAAACUGGCGUCUGUAUUUCACAGUCUCCCACCUAUCCUACACAAACCGUACCGAACACCAAUACCAAGUUGUAGUGAAGGUCCCGGGGUCUUAUCGUCCUGCCGCGCGUAACGAGCAUCUUUACUCGUAGUGCAAUUUCGCCGAGUCUAUGGUUGAGACAGUUGGGAAGUCGUUACGCCAUUCGUGCAGGUCGGAACUUACCCGACAAGGAAUUUCGCUACCUUAGGAUGGUUAUAGUUACCACCGCCGUUUACUGGGGCUUAAAUUCUCCGCUUCACCUUACGGUUAACGGGUCCUCUUAACCUUCCAGCACCGGGCAGGCGUCAGUCCGUAUACAUCGUCUUGCGACUUCGCACGGACCUGUGUUUUUAGUAAACAGUCGCUACCCACUGGUUUCUGCGGCCGGAUCCCGCUCCCACCGCAAGGGUGUUCACGGUAUUCCGGCCCCCCUUCUCCCGAAGUUACGGGGGCAUUUUGCCGAGUUCCUUAACCAUAGUUAUCUCGUACGCCUUGGUAUUCUCUACCUGACCACCUGUGUUGGUUUGGGGUACGGGCCGUGUAUGUGCUCGCUAGAGGCUUUUCUUGGCAGCAGAGGAUCACCGAAUUCACCUCAAUCGGCUAUGCAUCACCUCUCAGGAUUAAUGAGCGACGGAUUUGCCUAUCGCUCUCCCUACAGGCUUGCCCCAGUAUUACCACUGACUGGUACGGCUACCUUCCUGCGUCACCCCAUUGCUUGACUACUACCAGCGAAGGUCCCACGCAGCCCCGAAACUCCAUGCCCCCGAAGGGGAAUGGUCGAUCCGGUUUUGGGUGGUUAGUACCGCUGAUUCAUCAGGGACGCCCAUACACGGGUACGGGAAUAUCAACC